rnacentral:rRNA from 1 species
AUUGAACGCUGGCGGCAUGCCUUACACAUGCAAGUCGAACGGUAACGGGCCUUCGGGUGCCGACGAGUGGCGAACGGGUGAGUAAUACAUCGGAACGUGCCCGAUCGUGGGGGAUAACGAGGCGAAAGCUUUGCUAAUACCGCAUACGAUCUACGGAUGAAAGCAGGGGACCGCAAGGCCUUGCGCGGACGGAGCGGCCGAUGGCAGAUUAGGUAGUUGGUGGGAUAAAAGCUUACCAAGCCGACGAUCUGUAGCUGGUCUGAGAGGAUGAUCAGCCACACUGGGACUGAGACACGGCCCAGACUCCUACGGGAGGCAGCAGUGGGGAAUUUUGGACAAUGGGCGCAAGCCUGAUCCAGCCAUGCCGCGUGCAGGAUGAAGGCCUUCGGGUUGUAAACUGCUUUUGUGCGGAACGAAAAGCCUUCUUUUAAUACAGGAGGGUCAUGACGGUACCGGAAGAAUAAGCACCGGCUAACUACGUG